AGGAAAAAACAUUAGAAAGACAGCAGUUAAGAUGAACAAAGGGAUUUUACUAGCAUUUAGAAAACAAAAUAGAGACAAAACAACACUAGUUGUGGUUUAAUCAAGGAUCCAACUAAAGGUAAGAAUAGGGAAAAUCAAAGGAAGCAAGAAAGGAAGGACAUAUAGAAACAGGAGAAAAAGGAGUAUGGCUGGAAACACAGUUUGGAAGAUAAACAUCCUAUACCGAACUUUUUUGCAUGCUAUGAUUCAGGAUAUCUCCUCUCCUCCGAUGGGACGGAACAAGAUGUGAAGAAUGUGAAGAUGCAGGAAUGAAAACUGCAACGCCAUCCACCCACUCCUGUCACCUCUGAGGUGCAGUGUCCACAAAUCAGGCAUUAGAUUUAUCUAUUAAAGGGAAUAUCAGUGAAAAAGAGGAGGAGGAAUACUUCACAUGCUGAAGCAAUCUCGUGGAUUGCUUCAGCAUGUGCUGCACAAAACCACGUGCGGCUUGGAGUUAUUAAAACCAACACGCUGGACGCUGUUGAUUCUUUCGUUUGAGGAGGUGGAGAUGAUGCAAAGGGUUCUGGGUCUGCACUUGGGGAUACACAGACAGGUCUGCCUGAGCAUGAGAGGGAGGCAGGCAGGGAGGCGUCUAGAAGCAUCCACAGCACAUAGGGGAGCAUGAGAACGACUUCAAACUCCAGCUUAGA